UCCCUGGUGGUCCAGUGGUUAAGAAUCUACCUUCCGAUGUAUGGGAUUCAGGUUCAAUCCCUGAUCAGGGAA
rnacentral:tRNA from 1 species